CAGUAGCCGCGGUAAUACGUAGGGUGCAAGCGUUAAUCGGAAUUACUGGGCGUAAAGCGUGCGCAGGCGGUUAUAUAAGACAGAUGUGAAAUCCCCGGGCUCAACCUGGGAACUGCAUUUGUGACUGUAUAGCUAGAGUACGGCAGAGGGGGAUGGAAUUCCGCGUGUAGCAGUGAAAUGCGUAGAUAUGCGGAGGAACACCGAUGGCGAAGGCAAUCACCUGGGCCUGUACUGACGCUCAUGCACGAAAGCGUGGGGAGCAAACAGGAUUAGAUACCCCUGUAGUCCCUGUCUCUUAUAC
rnacentral:rRNA from 1 species